UACGAAGGGGGCUAGCGUUGCUCGGAAUCACUGGGCGUAAAGCGCACGUAGGCGGAUUCUUAAGUCGGUGGUGAAAGCCUGGAGCCCAACUCCAGAACUGCCUUCGAUACUGAGAGUCUUGAGUCCGGGAGAGGUGAGUGGAACUGCGAGUGUAGAGGUGAAAUUCGUAGAUAUUCGCAAGAACACCAGUGGCGAAGGCGGCUCACUGGCCCGGUACUGACGCUGAGGUGCGAAAGCGUGGGGAGCAAGCAGG
rnacentral:rRNA from 1 species